AUUGAACGCUGGCGGCAGGCCUAACACCUGCAAGUCGAACGAGUGGCGGACGGGUGAGUAAUGUCUUGGAAACUGCCUGAUGGAGGGGGAUAACUACUGGAAACGGUAGCUAAUACCGCAUACCAUCGGAUGUGCCCAGAUGGGAUUAGCGUGUUGGUGGGGUAACGGCUCACCAAGGCGACGAUCCCUAGCUGGUCUGAGAGGAUGACAAGCGACACUGGAACUGAGACACGGUCCAGGAUCCUACGGGAGGCAGCAGGGGGGAAUAUUGCACAAUGGGCGCAAUACUGAUGCAGCCAUCACGCGUGUAUGAAGACGGCCGUCGGGUUGUAAAUGACUUUCAGCGGGGAGGCGUUACCCGCAGAAGAAGCACCGGCGAACUCCGUGCCAGCAGCCGCUGUAAUAC
rnacentral:rRNA from 1 species